GAGACAGCAGUAGCCACGGUAAUACGAACCGUGCGAACGUUAUUCGGAAUUACUGGGCUUAAAGCGCGUGUAGGCGGGCCGCCACGUCGGUUGCUGAAAUCCCCCGGCUCAACCGGGGAAGUGGCAUCGAUACGAGCGGCCUUGAGGGGGGUAGGGGGAUCUGGAACUUCCGGUGGAGCGGUGAAAUGCGUUGAGAUCGGAAGGAACGCCCGUGGCGAAAGCGAGGUCCUGGACCCUUUCUGACGCUGAGACGCGAAAGCCAGGGGAGCGAACGGGAUUAGAGACCCCGGUAGUCCCUGUCUCUUAUA
rnacentral:rRNA from 1 species